GCUUUUGUGUUUUCUUUCUGUACUUAAACUGAUACCUCUAUUAGCAUUCAUCUUAGAGUUAAGGACCCAAUAGACUUAGUUUCAUCCCACAUUAAAGGAAUAGAACUCUAGUUCUGCCACGGCAGGACAAGAAGACCAAACCAGACAUCCAAAGUACAUCAAAGUUGCUUGAUUGCAGACUGUGAGGGAUUCACUGUCCUUUUUACUUUUAUUGUUUAAUCCUUCAGGAACAAAUGAUGUUUAACACUGUUCAGAUAAAGAUUUUGCAGACUGGUGUGCAGGUAACUGUUUACUGCAGGAAAAAAUACAAAAUAAGAGAAGUCUGUUCAAAAUUCUCUGCCUUAAACUUCAUCUGCCAGUUACUCUUUUGUUAAGGCUCAUGACUGCUGACUGUAUUCCUUGGCUUAUUAAGAUGAGAAUCUCCAGUUCCUGCUAGCAUGUUCCAGGCUAGUAACCAACCAUAUUGUCCAUUCCUUUGUGCUGCAAAGCACUCAGGAGACUGUGUUCCCAGAAGCCCAUUCUAAUAUCUUGGGUUUUAUUUUCUCUUUUCUAUUUCUGUUCUAUAAGGUAGUUUCCAGUGCUUCUCCUUGCAAAAAUGUGGGUAAAACUGUUCUUUGCUCUGGGCUGCAGCUACUUUCUAGUUUGGGAAAUUAGUUUCAACUCUGAAAAUGAAGCCUGCUCUUUAUGGAAGUGGUAUCUCUCUCCAUAGUCUGUAUAGUAUUCCUGUGCUGAAUUCAGUGCAUUUAAAUCCCCAAAUGCUCAAGUAUUCCUGCAUAUUUCACCUCUUCAGGGGUCUGAUGGGCCUGCCAGAUGGGUGAAGUAAGUAAAUCCAACCAUAGGCAGAUGCACAGAAGUAUUUGAUAAGUGAUAUGACAUAAGUAAUCAGGGCUAGCUAGUAGUUUGGCUUAUUUGUUGUUUCUUUUUUUUGUUCUCCUUUCUGCUUCUCAAAAUGAAGAAGACGGAAGGCCACCAUGGUCAACCAGCAGACCUCAGUUACUAAAAAAAAGUCACUGUGAAAGUGUUCAAGCAACUAGAUACUAUAUGCUUCUUUGUCCAAAUAUAUAGAUCACACAAGUAAGCUGUACUAGAUGUUACAAUGGAAAGUAAGAACCCCAAAAAGCUGAAAAAACAUUUAAAGAUCUCCCCUUUACUAACAAUAGACAACUGGAGGUCACCUAGAAGUGAGAACUACAUCACAGCUGUUGGUUUUACUAUAGAGUUGGAGUAUAUGUAAACUAAUGGGUAGAAUUUGAAAAUGCCUUUCAUUAAACUAAUUGUUAGUUUUGUCAGGAACGCUGUGGGAAGAUAAAGGUUGGAUUAUCCCUGUUCUACAAUUGUGUAGCUUUGUAUAUAUGUUGAUCUAGUCCUUAUCAUUUCAGUAUAUCAUUUCCCUGUUGAUCAAUAUACCUCUUAGACCGAUUUUUACUGCCUUUUGAAUCGAUGUGAAACAGACAGUUUUGAAAUUUAAUGAUCAUCAAUAAUAAUUUUUAAGAUGUAACGGUUACCAGGAUACUGGAAUCAGAGUACAUACAAAAAUGUGCGGUGUAAUAAUGGAAAAAAAUAUCAGAACAGAGAACAUGCUAUUACUAAGAACUGUGGCAUUUGGUAAUUCAUAAUGCAAGAAGCUAUUUUCAGGGUAGAUUUGGGUUGUUUGUUUGUUUUUUGGCUGAAACAGUGCCUGUAGCUUCCUGAUGACAACUUAAAACUUGGUAUUGGUUUGAGUCUGAGUUAUGCCGUAAAAGGGAAUUCAUUUAAAAUAGUUAUUUGAGAGAUGGUAGAUGAGCAAGGUUCAUUUUGUAGUUCAGCUUACUAUUGCAGUUGAGUCUGCAAAUAACAUCUGAAAAAAAGAAAUGUACGAAAUGAGCUGUCAUCAUUGAAGUUUUAUGCAUAAGGCAAUUAAGAGUUCAAAGGGGUUGCUUUCCUGGAAUGAAGAGGGCUCUACUUCUUAUUUUUAAGUUGAAUGGUGUGACACCGCCUGCACGCACACACUGAGUCUGCUAAGUUUUCUGUGAAUUAUUAGAUUCCUUAUAUCUGCUGCCUUUUGUAAAGUUCAAGAUUUUCUUUCAAACAAGAUCACCUGCAUUGGUAUGUAGGAUAUUACUGUUAUGGUUUAUCCACUUUCAUAAAGUACUGAAGUGAGCAGAACAGAAUCUCUAAAGCAUGUUCUUUUGUGAGAGUGUGUCUGAGCUGUUUUCCAACGUUUUCCAAGUCUGUCAGUUCCACAGUGAUUAUAUCACUUGUACUCACUUCAGGCUGUGGAAAAGUAGCAAAGGUAGUUCAUUCAUCUCUGCACCACUGAGAGUUAAUAGUGCAGUUUGUUCUCUGCAGGUUCAUUCCUUACAAAUGGAGGAUUUUUUUUCCUACUUCUCAAGGGAUUUUGUAGAAUUUCUACUGGAUGUUGCAUUGUCCUUUAUCCAUUACUUUGAUAUGGAACAGGUUCAGAGUUUAUUUUGACAUAUUACAAAGUUACUCAUUCAUAGAUGUAGCUAUGUUAGAGCAGUGAUGCCACCAAUUGAAAAAUAAUGUUCAAGAAACCAAUAAAAGAGUGCCAUGUUACUUUUUUAGAUUCUUAGAAGGAUUCAUUUAAAAUGAUUGAUUUCACUUUGCAAAUAUCUUGUUGCUUCUGAUUGAACUAGGUUCUGUGUAAAAUUGUGCUGUUGACUUUUAGUAUUAUACUAUAUCAUUUGUAAUAGAAACUUACAUACUAAUCUAUGAUUUUUAUUGAGUUUGCAAAAGUAUCUGUGUUUCAACAUGUCUACUCUUUGUCUCUGUCUAGCAUCUUCAGCAUUGUCAGUAGCUGUGGGAAUAGUUCUGAGAAUAGUUUGGCUUUGCAGCAGCAGUCUACCAAAGAGACAGAUCACACAUUGUAUCUUGGAUAUGCCCGCAGAGUCCUACUGAUGCAAAUGAGGGAGUAAAGCAUUAAUGGAGAUGCGGUAAUCUGGAUAUGACUUUGCAGCCAUAUCCAGACUUCACAAGCAUGAACCUGGGCCAGCGAAAAGAUUCUUCCUUAAGUGUUGCUUGAUUAAUAAACUUAUCUCUGGAUUAAAAUCUUUAAAUUAGCAAAAAGAAGUUGCAGAAAUUUGGGGCAGUUGGCCAGUCAAUAGAAGAUUCUUUCAUUUAGUUCUUCCCGUUUCCUCUGGUUGUGGGAUGAUGGAUUUUGUUUGUUUUGUUUUGUCAGAUGUUAUAUAAAGCAUGGUGUUUUCUAGGCAUCAAAGUUACCAUCCCAUUAUCUAGCUUCUUCUAAAUGUAAGUUACAUAUACUAUCUCCGCCUUUUCAUUGGAGAAAUUUCAUUUCUUUCUCUGAUGACAUUAGAUUUGUUUUUUUCCAACUGAGUAAGUGUCUGCUUCUCUUCCUUUAUCAUUCUCUCUAAAAUUCCUUUAAUUUUUCAUCUUAUGGUAGUCAGGAGUACACAGUGCUGCCCUAGGUAUUUUAAUUCUGAUCAAACUGUGCCUGCCAAAUGUAUUGCUUUUAUAUAUGGAGUCCAGUGUUGUAUUUAUCUCUUAGCUGCUCUUGCCCCAGCAAACCUGCAUUAGUUCUGGUCUGUAGAUCAUAUUCAGCAUCACUGGUUUCCAGAUUUCCUCUUUCACUAUGUAGCUAUAAAGCACAUUGUGAGGUGCUUUUUUUUUUUU